GGUUAAGCGACUAAGCGUACACGGUGGAUGCCCUGGCAGUCAGAGGCGAUGAAGGACGUGCUAAUCUGCGAAAAGCGUCGGUAAGGUGAUAUGAACCGUUACAGCCGGCGAUGUCCGAAUGGGGAAACCCAGUGCAAUUCGUUGCACUAUCGUUUGAUGAAUACAUAGUCAAACGAGGCGAACCGGGGGAACUGAAACAUCUAAGUACCCCGAGGAAAAGAAAUCAACCGAGAUUCCCCCAGUAGCGGCGAGCGAACGGGGAGCAGCCCGGAGUCUGAAUCAGCUUGUGUGUUAGUGGAAGCGUCUGGAAAGUCGCAGGGUACAGGGUGAUACUCCCGUACACUAAAACGCACAGGCUGUGAACUCGAAGAGUAGGGCGGGACACGUGGUAUCCUGUCUGAAUAUGGGGGGACCAUCCUCCAAGGCUAAAUACUCCUGACUGACCGAUAGUGAACCAGUACCGUGAGGGAAAGGCGAAAAGAACCCCGGCGAGGGGAGUGAAAAAGAACCUGAAACCGUGUACGUACAAGCAGUAGGAGCCCACUUGUUGGGUGACUGCGUACCUUUUGUAUAAUGGGUCAGCGACUUAUAUUCUGUAGCAAGGUUAACCGUAUAGGGGAGCCGCAGGGAAACCGAGUCUUAACUGGGCGUUAAGUUGCAGGGUAUAGACCCGAAACCCGGUGAUCUAGCCAUGGGCAGGUUGAAGGUUGGGUAACACUAACUGGAGGACCGAACCGACUAAUGUUGAAAAAUUAGCGGAUGACUUGUGGCUGGGGGUGAAAGGCCAAUCAAACCGGGAGAUAGCUGGUUCUCCCCGAAAGCUAUUUAGGUAGCGCCUCGUGAACUCAUCUUCGGGGGUAGAGCACUGUUUCGGCUAGGGGGUCAUCCCGACUUACCAACCCGAUGCAAACUACGAAUACCGAAGAAUGUUAUCACGGGAGACACACGGCGGGUGCUAACGUCCGUCGUGAAGAGGGAAACAACCCAGACCGCCAGCUAAGGUCCCAAAGUCAUGGUUAAGUGGGAAACGAUGUGGGAAGGCCCAGACAGCCAGGAUGUUGGCUUAGAAGCAGCCAUCAUUUAAAGAAAGCGUAAUAGCUCACUGGUCGAGUCGGCCUGCGCGGAAGAUGUAACGGGGCUAAACCAUGCACCGAAGCUGCGGCAGCGACACUAUGUGUUGUUGGGUAGGGGAGCGUUCUGUAAGCCGUUGAAGGUGGCCUGUGAGGGUUGCUGGAGGUAUCAGAAGUGCGAAUGCUGACAUAAGUAACGAUAAUGCGCGUGAAAAACCCGCACGCCGGAAGACCAAGGGUUCCUGUCCAACGUUAAUCGGGGCAGGGUGAGUCGACCCCUAAGGCGAGGCCGAAAGGCGUAGUCGAUGGGAAACAGGUUAAUAUUCCUGUACUUGGUGUUACUGCGAAGGGGGGACGGAGAAGGCUAUGUUGGCCGGGCGACGGUUGUCCCGGUUUAAGCAUGUAGGCGGAUGUUCCAGGUAAAUCCGGAACGUUAUUAACGCUGAGGUGUGAUGACGAGGCACUACGGUGCUGAAGUGACAAAUGCCCUGCUUCCAGGAAAAGCCUCUAAGCAUCAGGUAACAUCAAAUCGUACCCCAAACCGACACAGGUGGUCAGGUAGAGAAUACCAAGGCGCUUGAGAGAACUCGGGUGAAGGAACUAGGCAAAAUGGUGCCGUAACUUCGGGAGAAGGCACGCUGAUACGUAGGUGAAGUGGUUUACCCAUGGAGCUGAAAUCAGUCGAAGAUACCAGCUGGCUGCAACUGUUUAUUAAAAACACAGCACUGUGCAAACACGAAAGUGGACGUAUACGGUGUGACGCCUGCCCGGUGCCGGAAGGUUAAUUGAUGGGGUUAUCCGUAAGGAGAAGCUCUUGAUCGAAGCCCCGGUAAACGGCGGCCGUAACUAUAACGGUCCUAAGGUAGCGAAAUUCCUUGUCGGGUAAGUUCCGACCUGCACGAAUGGCGUAAUGAUGGCCAGGCUGUCUCCACCCGAGACUCAGUGAAAUUGAACUCGCUGUGAAGAUGCAGUGUACCCGCGGCAAGACGGAAAGACCCCGUGAACCUUUACUAUAGCUUGACACUGAACACUGGUCCUUGAUGUGUAGGAUAGGUGGGAGGCUUUGAAGCGUGGACGCCAGUCUGCGUGGAGCCAUCCUUGAAAUACCACCCUUUAAUGGCUGGUGUUCUAACGUGGGCCCCUAAUCGGGGUUGCGGACAGUGUCUGGUGGGUAGUUUGACUGGGGCGGUCUCCUCCUAAAGAGUAACGGAGGAGCACGAAGGUCAGCUAAUCCUGGUCGGACAUCAGGAGGUUAGUGCAAUGGCAUAAGCUGGCUUGACUGCGAGCGUGACGGCGCGAGCAGGUGCGAAAGCAGGUCAUAGUGAUCCGGUGGUUCUGAAUGGAAGGGCCAUCGCUCAACGGAUAAAAGGUACUCCGGGGAUAACAGGCUGAUACCGCCCAAGAGUUCAUAUCGACGGCGGUGUUUGGCACCUCGAUGUCGGCUCAUCACAUCCUGGGGCUGAAGUAGGUCCCAAGGGUAUGGCUGUUCGCCAUUUAAAGUGGUACGCGAGCUGGGUUUAGAACGUCGUGAGACAGUUCGGUCCCUAUCUGCCGUGGGCGCUGGAGAAUUGAGGGGGGCUGCUCCUAGUACGAGAGGACCGGAGUGGACGCAUCACUGGUGUUCGGGUUGUCAUGCCAAUGGCAUUGCCCGGUAGCUAAAUGCGGAAGAGAUAAGUGCUGAAAGCAUCUAAGUACGAAACUUGCCCCGAGAUGAGUUCUCCCUGACCCUUUAAGGGUCCUGAAGGAACGUUGAAGACGACGACGUUGAUAGGCCGGGUGUGUAAGCGCAGCGAUGCGUUGAGCUAACCGGUACUAAUGAACCGUGAGGCUUAACCUU
rnacentral:rRNA from 1 species